rnacentral:rRNA from 1 species
CAGUCGCCACGGGAAUACGGAGGGGGCUAGCGUUGUUCGGAAUUACUGGGCGUAAAGCGCACGUAGGCGGCUUGGUAAGUUAGAGGUGAAAGCCUGGAGCUCAACUCCAGAAUUGCCUUUAAGACUGCCGAGCUAGCAGGUGAGAGAGGUAAGUGGAAUUCCGAGUGUAGAGGUGAAAUUCGUAGAUAUUCGGAAGAACACCAGUGGCGAGGGCGGCUUACUGGCUCAUACUGGACGCUGAGGUGCGAAAGCGUGGGGAGCAAACAGGAUUAGAGACCCCUGUAGUCCCUGUCUCUUAUAC